CUAAGUUUGAUGGCGACCGGCGCACGGGUGAGUAACACGUAUCCAACCUGCCGAUGACUCGGGGAUAGCCUUUCGAAAGAAAGAUUAAUACCCGAUGGCAUAGUUCUUCCGCAUGGUAGAACUAUUAAAGGAUUUCGGUCAUCGAUGGGGAUGCGUUCCAUUAGGUUGUUGGCGGGGUAACGGCCCACCAAGCCUUCGAUGGAUAGGGGUUCUGAGAGGAAGGUCCCCACAUUGGAACUGAGACACGGUCCAAACUCCUACGGGAGGCAGCAUG
rnacentral:rRNA from 1 species